rnacentral:pre_miRNA from 11 species
UUGGUGUCUCGGCCUCCGGCUGUUGUGGUAUGGAAGACUAGUGAUUUUGUUGUUCGGCAUAAAGACCGGUAACAAAAAAUCUCUAGUUCACCUACCAAGGCAGUUGCAUUCUUCACCGGGCGAC